GGGGUACAAUCAUGGAAGGCUGCAGUUAAUCCAAGUAGCAGGUGCUUUUUUUAUUUUUUUGAGUGACCAGUCAAUACUAGUCAGGUCUGUGAAGCUGGGAUCAGAGGGAACCAAAAUAUCUGUUGUUUGCACAACUCUGUGAUGGGUCAUUAAGGACCAUGCCCAGCUGCGCCUGCAGGGUAUGCUCCAGCUGGAGGUGGAACUUAAAAGAGAGCCAGAAGGAGCCUGACCAGGCAGAGGGAAGGACUGGUCCUGAGAUCUCCUGGGGAAGGGAGCAGCAGAAACUUCCUGCCUAAUAUUUCACACACAAAGUUGGCAGGAAGAGGAUUAGAAGGAAUUUGUUCUGCAUUAAAGCCUGGUUGCAGGAUCUUUUCAAUAGAAGGCUUAAACUGAAUGGAGAUUUAAAUGAAAGCGUGCGUGGAACAGAGCCAAAAUCAGGAGGCAGAUGGCAGACUCCCAGCUGAGACAUCUCUUCUUCCACAUCAGGAGCUGCUGUUGUGUCUCCAAGCAAUGGGAAGAAUGCGAUGUCGCAAGAACUUCUGAAAUAGCUGCUUCUAUUCUAGAUCACCUAGUCUGGCGAGAGUCCUCCUUUCACCAUGUGGAGUGAAAAGGAAAUAGCACAACAUGGGACUGAGAGAGAACUGGGAGGGUGGGGGUCUUCCUUUUGAUGUUAGCAGAGGAAAGGUUACUACUGAAUUCAGUUGCACAGCUUUUGGUCUCCUGGGAGGUCAUAGUCCCACUAGUUCCCCAGUCGUCAAGCCUGACAUUUCUAAUGUGAAAACAAUCAAUUACAAUCAAACUACCACCAAACUGUGAGGGAGAGAGUUGUUGUUUUGGUUUGGUUUUUUUGAAUGGAACACCACACACACACGCGUGCGUGCACACACAAU